rnacentral:tRNA from 1 species
UCUGGUAGCUCAGUUGGUAAAGAAUCUGCCUGCAAUGCAGGAGACCCUGGUUUGAUUCCUGGGUCAGAA